rnacentral:rRNA from 1 species
GACAAACGCUGGCGGCAUGCCUAACACAUGCAAGUCGAACGGACGGAGGCUUGAAACUCUUCGGAGGGACGAGCCCGAGUUAGUGGCGGAUGGGUGAGUAACGCGUGGGGAACCUACCUUUUAGAGGGGAAUAAUCAUUGGAAACGAUGACUAAUACCGCAUACAGUGCUUAGGUCGCAUGACCCGAGUAAAAAAGAUGGCCUCUGAAAAUGCUAUCGCUAAAAGAUGGACCCGCGUCUGAUUAGCUAGUUGGUAAGGUAACGGCUUACCAAGGCAACGAUCAGUAGCCGGCCUGAGAGGGUGAACGGCCACAUUGGGACUGAGACACGGCCCAAACUCCUACGGGAGGCAGCAGUGGGGAAUCUUCCGCAAUGGGCGAAAGCCUGACGGAGCAAUGCCGCGUGAGUGAAGAAGGCCUUCGGGUUGUAAAGCUCUAUCCUCGUCCAAGAGAGCGGUGCGUAGUAACUGACGCAGCGAGGACGGUAGACGAGAAGGAAGCCCCGGCUAACUAUGUGCCAGCAGCCGCGGUAACAC